ACUCCCAAACCUGAGGGGUCCCCACAACCCCCCAGCCCAUCUUAACUUCCUCUUCCCCCAAGCUAUCUGGUGUUGGAAAGCCAGCAUCUAGUGUGGAAACAAGCUUUCUCACCAGGUAGGCCAUCCGCUGUCAGGACCAUUAGGUAAAAACAGAAGUGACAGGUUGUAGGAAGUCGUUCGAUCUGUGAGGCUGCGAGCACUUCAGUGCCUGGGAUUUACCUAACUGCCAUGAAACACUGAUUAUCCAGCAUUCAGCAUGUGUCAGAUUCUGUAACUAUUUCUCCUGUGAUGUAUCAGUCAGCUUUUGCUGCAAAACAGCAUCAGAAAUCUCAGUGGUCUACAACUAGAUUCCCAUUCUUGGGUAGUCUACAAGUUGGCUUCUAGGUUAUGCUCCAGGCUGGGGGUCUGAUCACGUCUGCUCCACAACAUGUCCCGUAUUCUGGGUCCCUGGUUGAAGCAGCAGCUUACCUUGGGCCGUGUUCUUUCUCAUGGCAGAAGCACAGGAGGCCAAGCCCUACCUUGCAAGCACAAAUACAGCCCCUGCUCACUUUCUGUUGGCCACAACACAUGGCCAUGCCUGACCUCUGUGGGGUGAGGCAGUGCAUGGCCAAGGAACAAGCACAGUCCACACAGGGGGCUGUCACUCCGUGACCUCAGUAUUACAAAAUGGUUCUCAAGGAGUCGCAAAAUGUGUGGCAGAUCAUCCAUGAUUUGUUUCCCGUGUGCUUUACGAAUAUCCUGAAAUUUUUAAAAGCUGUUUCCAUUAGAAGGGAUCUGUUGGGGAUUUGAGGUGAGAUGAGAAAGACCCUGCAUUCCAGCCCCUCAGUUAGCAGUGGUGAGGCCGGAGUACUCCACACGGGACAGUUUUAGGAAAGUGCUGGAAUCCAAAGUUUCUCCGGAGGGCUAUGCAAGGCGCUUUGGAAAGGCGAAGCCUGGGCGCAGGGAGCCCAGCCAUGUAGGUAGAAGCAGCAGACGGUGAGGGAGGCCAUCCCCACCUGGCCCUGCCAGGGCCCUGACUCAGUGAAGGAAGCUGUUGGGAUACAGGUCAUUCAGCCGGGCAGGAAAGAUGGGAUGAAGCCCAGCAAGUUCACAGGGAUCCGGGAAGUUGUGUGGCUGGAAACCCAGGCAGGGCUGCACCACAGGGACCAUUUGCUGGAGAUGCAGCACUUGCCACAGCCACCACCACUGACAGCAUGACACCCACAAAAAGGGAGCCUCCAGCUGCACCCCUGCUGCUGCGAGUACUUCCUCAGCUGUCUGCCAUGAGCUUAAGGUUAAGUACCAGGAGGGAGGAUAUGAUUGGGCAAACCUCAGGCAUGUGUUCAUUCUGUAGCUUCCAGAACAUGCGAGGAGAGAGCAUCUGGCUCCUUUGUCUCGAGGAGGAGGGGGCAGGACUCUGCCAGAACUCACUCGAUAAAAGAUUUUCCCAAAAGGAAGGGUGUUCAGAUGACAAAAGUCCACUACACCACUUUCCUUGGCUAUCUGAUGCACCCCCAUCUUCCCAUGCGCGCACCUCAGAAAUCAGGCUCCCACCUGACAUAACACAACCAUGCCUCACAAAAAGACAGUGGUUUAUCCCUUCCCUAGGAGAAAAGAGAGGCAAUGCCAAGCUGCUUCAUCAACUGUUAAUACUUCUUCCAGCCCGCAACCCAGGAUAUCUGCAGGUGUCUCUCCCUCUGGUUUGGUCAUGGCUCUCUCUGUUCUAGAAUGUAUGGGUUAAAGUCGGCUGCCACACCAUGCCCUCGGCAGUGUGGUCCAAGGACCCCUGAGGGUCCUCAAGGUCCUUCCUUUCCCAACCCCACGUGGUUUUCUUCAGUCAGGAUACCAUACUGCAACAGACCGAAGGCGGAAGCAGCUAUGAGGAUGCAGCAGCCUUCUGUUAAGCCAGGCUUUAAGGAUCUGCAAAAAUGUAAAACGAUGCCACUCCUACUGAUGAAAUAUAUUGUUUUGGAAAAUAUAGGUUUAAAAAUUUUUUUAAGGUAACAUGUAAUGGAUGUAUAGUCUUCAAAUGGAUGAAUAAAUGUUUUUCAGAGUUAUUGGCUUU
rnacentral:lncRNA from 1 species